GCGGUGGUAGCUCAGGGGUAGAGCUCCGGAUUGUGGCUCCGGCGGUCGCGAGUUCAAAUCUCGUCCAUCGCC
rnacentral:tRNA from 1 species